rnacentral:tRNA from 1 species
ACACCUAUAGCUUAAUUGGAUAGAGUACAAGUUUCCUAAACUUGCAAUGGGGGUUCAAAUCCCUCUAGGUGUACCA